GGCUGCUCCAAAGGUAGUGAGUUAUCUCAACUGAUUGUUCAGUCAAUUAUAGAUUGAACUCCUUGUUCUACUCUUUCCCUGCUUCUCACUCCUGCACUUGACUAGUCUUAA
rnacentral:Y_RNA from 1 species